AGCCAUCUAUGACACUUUCUCUUCAUUUUUAGAUGAGGAAACAAAAGAACACAGAGCCAAGAUGACAGGGCUAGCAAAGGGGCAAUCAGGAGCCCCCCAACUCAAGAAUCACCUUCAAAUUCAGAAUUAGAAGGGGCCCAACAUUCAGACUUGCAAAGGCUGUGGAACCAUCAAGACCAACCCAUGCCCAACAGGAAUUCCAAGGAAUUUUUCCCUUCAUAAAACCUGAUUAACAGCUAAGGCUUUUCCUGCUACUAAUGAGUUUUCUGCCCCCCAAUCAUCUAUG
rnacentral:lncRNA from 1 species